UCACCCAUAGCUAAUGAUCCAUCAAGACUCACAUGCGCAUAGGGCCGGAGCAGGAGACCCUAAGUCCCUGACUCCCGCACUCCCCUGGCGCGCCACAUUUCAGCACGACGGACAGCGCAGCACUGGGGCUCGACGGGGGAGGCGGGGACCAAUACCACGCUGUUUCAGCCCGGCUUUUUCAAAUCUCUCGGGUCUCCGCCCUCAUUUCCGUGCAUUUUCGAAACGACUCUCACAGCAACCGAAGCCGGAAAAAAGCAUUCACAGAAAACGGGGAAACUCCAGGGUUCGCUUACCGUCUGACAAGUCAAUCAGCCCGAGGCAAUUUCUCCAACGGCUUAACCAGUCCCUAAUCUGCUAGCUGACUGUAACCAUCACGGCAACGUCUCACGGCAUAUUCUCUUGGCAGCUCAGAGAAAACGUGUGUCAGUGUAGACCAUUUCAAAGACAUACAGAAAGAGCCCCACUGCUUUAGAUCACAGAUAGAUGGAGAGAUGAAAGAUACUUUUUCAAAGGGACAACAAUUUGCCAGUGAAAAACCUGACAAGCUGAUCUGGAACAUAUAUGGUCCCUGCUUUGACACAGUGAACUGUCCCUGGAAACUGUACCACCAGGAAAGCUAUGGUAAACUGGAGUGCGUCUACAAUUAUAUUUGUCUUUGGGGAGGUUUUAUAUUAGUAUCAGAAAUUAUUGGAUGGGUAGUCAGGCUGGCUAAGUCAUCACUGGGCAGCACUGAGUGAGCAAAUGUUCUGGAAAUGAAAGAAAGAAUGAGGAAGAAAAAGAGUGGUGCUGUCGGCAUGCCCUAAACUUUUGGGCUCUAUGGGGGAACUUUCCCUUCUUCCUACACUGGAUUGUCAGCAGUGAGCCUUGGGGGAAAGGUGCUUGAUGUGGGGAAAAGGGAAGAUUGCACUCUCAGAGUCACAGAGACCCGUCCUUGGGCAAGUUCCUGGAUCUCCGUGAGGCCCAGUUUCCUCUUCUUAAAUAAACUUACCACAAAUAAGAGAA